rnacentral:ncRNA from 1 species
UAUUAGGGGUGCGACCCCGUCCCGUGCAAUGGUUGCGGCGCAUGCCGGCGGCCGUACGGGCGGAAGCUGAGAAUAUACCCUUUGAACCUGAUCCGGGUAACGCCGGCGUAGAGAAAAUA